rnacentral:snoRNA from 1 species
UUCCAAAGUGUUGAGUUCAGUUCAGGGUAGUUUCUCUGUUCUGUUAAUUAAACUUUGGAAAAUUGAAAUGGGCUAGGAUAAUUGGUUGGAUAGAAAAGUACUGUUCUAUUCACUCAUAUCCCAGCCUACAAAA